GACGGAGGGGGCAAGCGUUGUCCGGAAUCACUGGGCGUAAAGCGCACGUAGGCGGUCUGGUGCGUCGGUGCUGAAACCUCUGGGCUUAACCCAGAGACGCGUGCCGAUACGACCGGACUGGAGGCAGGCAGAGGGUGGCGGAAUUCCGGGUGUAGUGGUGAAAUGCGUAGAGAUCCGGAGGAACGCCUGUGGCGCAAGCGGCCACCUGGGCCUGACCUGACGCUGAGGUGCGAAAGCGUGGGGAGCGAAC
rnacentral:rRNA from 1 species